UGCUUUACACAUGCAAGUCGGACGGCAGCACAGAGAAGCUUGCUUCUUGGGUGGCGAGUGGCGAACGGGUGAGUAACAUAUCGGAACGUACCGAGCAGUGGGGGAUAACUAAUCGAAAGAUUAGCUAAUACCGCAUAUUCUCUGAGGAGGAAAGCAGGGGACCUUCGGGCCUUGCGUUAUUCGAGCGGCCGAUAUCUGAUUAGCUAGUUGGUGGGGUAAAGGCCUACCAAGGCGACGAUCAGUAGCGGGUCUGAGAGGAUGAUCCGCCACACUGGGACUGAGACACGGCCCAGACUCCUACGGGAGGCAGCAGUGGGGAAUUUUGGACAAUGGGCGCAAGCCUGAUCCAGCCAUGCCGCGUGUCUGAAGAAGGCCUUCGGGUUGUAAAGGACUUUUGUCAGGGAAGAAAAGGCUGUUGCUAAUACCGACAGCUGAUGACGGUACCUGAAGAAUAAGCACCGGCUAACUACGUGCCAGCAGCCGCGGUAAUACGUAGGGUGCGAGCGUUAAUCGGAAUUACUGGGCGUAAAGCGAGCGCAGACGGUUACUUAAGCA
rnacentral:rRNA from 1 species